rnacentral:rRNA from 1 species
UACGAAGGGGGCUAGCGUUGCUCGGAAUCACUGGGCGUAAAGCGCACGUAGGCGGACUCUUAAGUCGGGGGUGAAAUCCUGGAGCUCAACUCCAGAACUGCCUUCGAUACUGGGAGUCUUGAGUUCGGGAGAGGUGAGUGGAACUCCGAGUGUAGAGGUGAAAUUCGUAGAUAUUCGGAAGAACACCGAUGGCGAAGGCAGCCCCCUGGGCUAACACUGACGCUCAUGCACGAAAGCGUGGGGAGCAAACAGG